rnacentral:rRNA from 1 species
CAGUAGCCGCGGUAAUACGUAGGGGGCAAGCGUUAUCCGGAUUCAUUGGGCGUAAAGCGCUCGUAGGCGGUCUGUUAGGUCGGGAGUUAAAUCCGGAGGCUCAACCUCCGUUCGCUCCCGAUACCGGCAGACUUGAGUUUGGUAGGGGAAGGUGGAAUUCCUAGUGUAGCGGUGGAAUGCGCAGAUAUUAGGAAGAACACCAGUGGCGAAGGCGGCCUUCUGGGCCAUAACUGACGCUGAGGAGCGAAAGCUAGGGGAGCAAACAGGAUUAGAUACCCCAGUAGUCCCUGUCUCUUAUACA